GGACAAAAAGAUUAUUUAAUGCGGAGUAGCUCUGAUGACCCGUACUUACAGUUAUGGCUCUGUACAAGGUGAUCGGUGCGGUGGCUCUGCUGACUCUCCUGACACAGGAGUCUCACUCACAACCUGAUGUGUGUGGUAUAACUCCGCUCAACAACAGGAUUGUUGGAGGACAGAAGGCCCCUGUGGGGAACUGGCCCUGGCAAGCCAGCCUGCAAUCAUCUGGUAGCCACUUCUGUGGAGGAUCCCUCAUUAACAAUGAAUGGGUGCUGACUGCUGCUCACUGCUUCUCAAGCAUCCCAGCCAGACUGACUGUGUCUCUGGGUCUCCAGAGUCUACAGGGACCCAACCCCAAUGUGGUGUCUCGGACGGUAACAACCGUCAUCAAUAAUCCUGGCUAUAACGCCGAUACUGAUGAUAACGACAUCUGCCUCCUGAAGCUCUCGUCACCGGUGACUUUCAAUAAUUUUAUUGUUCCUGUCUGCCUGGCAGCUCCAGGCAGCACCUUCUUCAGCGGCGUUAGCUCCUGGGUGACCGGCUGGGGCACCAUUGGCUCUGGAGUCUCCCUUCCUCCCCCAGGAAACCUAAUGGAGGUGAAUGUGCCGAUCGUGGGGAACAGACAGUGUAAAUGUAACUAUGGUGUGGGCAGAAUCACAAACAACAUGAUCUGCGCCGGGUUAAGUGCUGGAGGGAAGGACUCCUGUCAGGGGGAUUCAGGUGGUCCGAUGGUGAGCAAGCAGGGAAGCCGCUGGAUCCUGGGGGGAAUCGUAAGUUUUGGAAUUGGUUGUGCCCAGCCUAAUUUCCCAGGAGUCUACACCAGAGUGUCCCAAUAUCAGACCUGGAUCAACAGCCAGAUCACCAGCAACCAGCCAGGCUAUAUCACCUUCACGUCCAGUGGAACGGACAGUGACCUCAGCAUCAGCUGUACUGGCCUGCCACCGCCUCCAACCACCCUCCCUACAACCACCAUUGCCAAACCUGUGGUCUGUGGCCAAGCCCCACUGAAUUCCCGCAUUUUGGGAGGAAGCUCGGUGGCGACGGCUGGUGUGUGGCCAUGGAUGGCGAGCCUACAGAGGAAUGGAAGUCAUGUGUGUGGCGGGACUCUGGUUGCCGUUAACUCCGUGUUGAGCAACGCCAACUGCUUCUCAAGUUCACCAACACCGUCUGAGUGGACUGUGGUGUUGGGUCGCUUGAAACAAAAUGGAUCUAACCCUUUUGAGGUGACACUGAAUGUGACAAAUAUCACCCUGAGCAACCUGAAUGGGUCAAAUGUAGCAGUGCUACAUUUGUCAACCAAACCCAGCCUGUCCAACAACAUCCAGCCCAUAUGCCUCGACAACGGCCAGACCUUCGCUUUGGGCUCCACGUGCUGGGCUGCUGGCUGGAGCUCAGGGCAAGGAGGAGCGGAACAAGUUCUGCAGGAGAUCCAGACGACGGUGGAAAAUUGCGGGAACGGGUCGUCGAGUGACAGCUUUUGUACCAGAACAUUUACACUGGAGAAGGGUGAUUCUGGAGGUCCAUUGAUGUGUAAGCUGGCUGGCUCUUGGUUCCAGGCAGCAGUGUUAUCAACUGAUAACACCACCAGACAAACACGAGAUGCAGUGAUGCAGUUCCCCAAACUGAGCACCUUUAAAAGCUUCCUGGCUGGUACAGUGGGGUUCUUAUCUCCAGCUUCAAACUCCACUAACACCACCAGCGCCAGCAACAGCACCAGCGCAACUCUCCUCAACAGUGGUGCCACUCCAGCUCACUUCCAGGUCUUCCUCUAUUUCCAUUUCCUCGUCUUCUCAGCGUGUCUCCAACUUUUUUUAUAGGAGCCUCCAACCUUAUUGAAAGGAUUUACUGUACUCUACAUGAUGUGACGAGCACAAAUGAAUGUAAACAAGCUUUAAGGUCAAAGCUGCAUUAAUACUAAUAUAUGACUUGAAUGUGCAAAAUACUGACCAGGUAAUGUGAAAAGGUCCCAGUAUGAAGUAUAAGGAUUACAUGCAAUGUAAAAAAGAUAAUAGUCCAACAGAUGUGGGUUACUGUAACAUGUAGAGCCAGAUGUGGAGGCUUUAUAUUAAUGCAACAUGUAACAACAGAUGUGGAGGCUUUUACGUUAAUGUAACCUUUAGAUACUGAUAUUGAAGUUUUUUGUUAAUGUGCUGUGUAGAGACUGAUGUCAAAGCU